GACGAACGCUGGCGGCGUGCUUAACACAUGCAAGUCGAACGAUGAACCGCUUUCGGGCGGGGAUUAGUGGCGAACGGGUGAGUAACACGUGGGCAAUCUGCCCUGCACUCUGGGACAAGCCCUGGAAACGGGGUCUAAUACCGGAUAUGACUGUCCAUCGCAUGGUGGAUGGUGUAAAGCUCCGGCGGUGCAGGAUGAGCCCGCGGCCUAUCAGCUUGUUGGUGAGGUAGUGGCUCACCAAGGCGACGACGGGUAGCCGGCCUGAGAGGGCGACCGCGCCACACUGGGACUGAGACACGGCCCAGACUCGCUACGGGAGGCAGCAGUGGGGAAUAUUGCACAAUGGGCGAAAGCCUGAUGCAGCGACGCCGCGUGAGGGAUGACGGCCUUCGGGUUGUAAACCUCUUUCAGCAGGGAAGAAGCGAAAGUGACGGUACCUGCAGAAGAAGCGCCGGCUAACUACGUGCCAGCAGCCGCGGUAAUACGUAGGGCGCAAGCGUUGUCCGGAAUUAUUGGGCGUAAAGAGCUCGUAGGCGGCUUGUCACGUCGGUUGUGAAAGCCCGGGGCUUAACCCCGGGUCUGCAGUCGAUACGGGCAGGCUAGAGUUCGGUAGGGGAGAUCGGAAUUCCUGGUGUAGCGGUGAAAUGCGCAGAUAUCAGGAGGAACACCGGUGGCGAAGGCGGAUCUCUGGGCCGAUACUGACGCUGAGGAGCGAAAGCGUGGGGAGCGAACAGGAUUAGAUACCCUGGUAGUCCACGCCGUAAACGGUGGGCACUAGGUGUGGGCAACAUUCCACGUUGUCCGUGCCGCAGCUAACGCAUUAAGUGCCCCGCCUGGGGAGUACGGCCGCAAGGCUAAAACUCAAAGGAAUUGACGGGGGCCCGCACAAGCGGCGGAGCAUGUGGCUUAAUUCGACGCAACGCGAAGAACCUUACCAAGGCUUGACAUACACCGGAAACGUCUGGAGACAGGCGCCCCCUUGUGGUCGGUGUACAGGUGGUGCAUGGCUGUCGUCAGCUCGUGUCGUGAGAUGUUGGGUUAAGUCCCGCAACGAGCGCAACCCUUGUCCCGUGUUGCCAGCAGGCCCUUGUGGUGCUGGGGACUCACGGGAGACCGCCGGGGUCAACUCGGAGGAAGGUGGGGACGACGUCAAGUCAUCAUGCCCCUUAUGUCUUGGGCUGCACACGUGCUACAAUGGCCGGUACAAUGAGCUGCGAUACCGCGAGGUGGAGCGAAUCUCAAAAAGCCGGUCUCAGUUCGGAUUGGGGUCUGCAACUCGACCCCAUGAAGUCGGAGUCGCUAGUAAUCGCAGAUCAGCAUUGCUGCGGUGAAUACGUUCCCGGGCCUUGUACACACCGCCCGUCACGUCACGAAAGUCGGUAACAC
rnacentral:rRNA from 1 species